CAAGAAGCGAUUCGCACUUAAUUUCGGCUUAAAUAUAGAUUUCUAACGAAAUCCUUG
rnacentral:tRNA from 1 species